rnacentral:ncRNA from 1 species
CGUUCGUCGCUUCUAUCAAUUGAAUAGUUUGAUAAAGUGUUCGGAUUGUGAUGACGUGGGUGGUUCGUUGUCCACGACAUUGUGAGAAGUCCAUUGAACUUUUUUAUUUAGAAGAAGAAGAAGUCGUAACAA